rnacentral:rRNA from 1 species
AUGCUCAGUGUGGUGGACUGGAACAUGAAAUUUCUGUAUGGCUUAACUGGCUGGGAGGGUUCCGCUUCAGACUCUAGAGUCCUACGCGACUCCAUGAGAACUGAUCGCCAAGAUGCAUUUGUUGUACCUCGUGGAAGAUAUUACUUGGCUGAUGCUGGUUACACGAAUGUACUAGGAUUUCUUGCUCCAUUCAGAUCCACUCGGUAUCACUUGAAAGAGUGGGCAUCAAGUCACCAACAACCCCAAAAUGCCAAAGAGCUAUAUAACUUGCGCCACUCUCGUGCUAGAAAUGUUGUAGAGAGAACUUUUGGGUUGUGGAAGAAGAAGUGGGGUAUUCUUCGCACUCAAAGUUUCUUUGACAUAAAGGACCAGGUAACAUGUGUCCAUUGGGUUUUCAAUAAGAUGCAUAACAUAGUGAAAAAUUCUUACGUACAAGAACAUUGUUGCAGAUUCGAAUCAUUAAUGCUUGUUGUGUGUUACACAACUUUGCAAGGGAUAGGCAACAUAUGA